rnacentral:lncRNA from 1 species
GAUUUCACGUGUGUGGGUGUGUGUAUAUAUCUAUACUUACUUAUCUACUUAUUUUUAUUGGCUAUUUUCCCCACUUGAAUACAAGCUUUAUGACAGCUAGACAUUGUGUUUUGUUCAGUCCAAUCUCUUUUUCAUCUAAGAGAGACUAACACGUAGCAGUUAUUCAAUAAACUCUUGUUGACUAGUGAAUAAGUGAAUGUGUGCUUUACUAUUGACCAAAUGAUAUUACAAGUUAAUCACAAUAUGAACUCUAGAAAGAAUAUGUGAAAUAGUCAUGGGAUCUAUUGUCAGUGUACUUGUAGUAGAAGGACAAGUUUUAGUUAGAUCAUAAUUAUUUAGCUGUCUAAAAGUAACUAUGUCAUUGACAUUAUUAUUAUUUUUUUUAUUACAUAAAGAAAAAGUUUGACACCAGCAAAGCUGGGAGUGGUGAGAGCACUCAGGGUUAUAUAUGAUAAUAAUAUUCCAUGAGAGGCCAAAUUACAAACAUGAACAUAUAUUAGAAAGCUCUUUUCAGAGCAAGUGUUUCAUAUUUGAAGAAUCCCUUGCUGUUCCUAGGCAUAAGAGCUGUAUCCUAACUGCACUGCUAAAUUUGGGCUUCCUGCUGGGAGCACAGCAAGUGCCCUCUUUGAGAGUGAGGAGGCUGAGAAUCUCACACCAACAGGAACGAGUGCUUUGAAAUUAGCUGGUGCUUGGAAUUUGAUCUGAUGUGACUGAUAUAAGGAUUUUGAGAGACUAUCCUAAAUUAUCUGAGUGGGUUCUGAAUGUCAUCACAAGAGUCUUUAGAAGAUAGAAGGAUAAACACCAGAAAGAGGAGGAGGCAGUGAGCCCAUGAAGACAGAGAUUAGAGUGAUGUGGCCAUAAGUCAAGACGUUCCGCAAAAACUGGAAGUCAGCAGCAGAAUCUCUCCUGGAGCCUGUGGAGGGGAUGUGGCCCUGCUAGUACCUUGAUUUUAGCCCAGUGAAACUGACUUCACACUGCUGGCCUCCAGGAUGAGUCUCUCUCUGUUGCCCAGGCUGGAGUGCAGUGACGCAAUCUCGGUGCAUUGCAACCUCUGCCUCCCAGGUUCAAGUGAUUCUUCUGCCUCAGUCUCUAAUACAAAAUAUUACUCCUUAAAACUGAAGAUUUCACUCCUCCAUGACAACCUAUUUUUUCUGGACCUCACUUUUCUUCUCCUCCCCCGAAUCUGGCCCCACAAGAGCUGCACUCAAGAUAGCAGUGCUUUUUACACUGGAAACCGGAAGCAACCUGAAGGAUGCCUUUCAGAAGGAAAUGAAAGCGGUAUGAGACUUUAUGAGGCUAUUCAUAGGGAAGGUUGCUGAGAUUCUGAACUAAGACAGUAGAAGUGGGAGUAGAAGGCAGCAGCCAGGUCUGAGAGAUACCUUUGAAGUAGAAGCGAGAGUUUGGGUGACUCAGCUAGAGAAUGGCUUCUACCAGAGGGAGGAAUCAAUGAAGAUUCAGAUUUUAUCAUCUGACAACAAUGAAUAAGGAAUGAAGUACAGAUUUUGGGGGCUUAGUAAAUUCAACACUUUCGCAUUUUAAC